CUAGGACAAGGAUGCUUCGGUUCGGUCGGCGCAAUCCGACCGAUGAAAAGGGAAUGCGGUGACGGGCAGGUUUUCUGCCCCAUGCCGCGACUGCCCCCGCAACUGUAGGCGGAGAGCGAGGCCGGAACAUGCCACUGGACCUGUUGAGGUCCGGGAAGGCCCGGCACCGCGAUGACCCGCAAGUCAGGAGACCUGCCGAAGCCGAUCACCCGAU
rnacentral:ncRNA from 2 species